rnacentral:rRNA from 1 species
UACGGAGGGUGCAAGCGUUGUCCGGAUUUAUUGGGUUUAAAGGGUGCGUAGGCGGCCCGUUAAGUCAGUGGUGAAAGCCUCCAGCUCAACUGGAGAACUGCCAUUGAUACUGGCGGGCUUGAGUACAGACGAGGUUGGCGGAAUUGAUUGUGUAGCGGUGAAAUGCGUAGAGAUUGGGAAGAACACCAGCGGCGAAAGCGUGCUACUGGGUCUGCACUGACACUGAGGGACGAAAGCUAGGGGAGCAAACAGG